rnacentral:rRNA from 1 species
AACGUAGGAGGCGAACGUUAUCCGGAUUUACUGGGCGUAAAGCGCAUGCAGGCGGUUUCUUAAGUCGGACGUGAAAGCUCCUGGCUCAACUGGGAGAGGUCGUUCGAAACUGGGGAACUUGAGGAUGGUAGAGGAGAGUGGAAUUCCCGGUGUAGUGGUGAAAUGCGUAGAUAUCGGGAGGAACACCAGUGGCGAAGGCGGCUCUCUGGGCCAUUCCUGACGCUAAGAUGCGAAAGCUAGGGGAGAGAACGGGAUUAGAAACCCCAGUAGUCC